GUCAGUAUUAAGUUUGUGUUUGCCAGCGUUACAUCAUUUUAAAGGGACCGAAACACCUGGCAGAGAGCGCGCAUAAGCGGUCACGGCCGUUUGCAUGGAGUUGUCACUUCUUGUUCAGAGGUGUUCUGUGGUGAAUGCUGACAUAGAUGAAGACAACUAUAGAUUGCCCACUCCCUUGCACAAAAUGAUAACAAGGAUUUUUACUGACACUGUCGCCAUCUAUUAGCUGCUUCCGACUAUCUAACGUCAUUGUCCCAAAAUACCCCCCUCCCCCGUAUGUUCUGUGGUCAUUGCUGGGUUUUCGUCCUUACUAUUGUGUAUUCAGGAUUUGCUAUUGUCGGCGAGCCAAUACUACAAUUGAGAUUAAAAGAUGCUUAAUAUUCAGUUCGAUGUAUUUGCAAUAUAUCAAAUUGAACAUAAACAUACUCCUAAUCUCAAUUGAAGUAUUUCGGCGUAGCCACAGGUGCUUGAAUAUGUUAAUAAAAACUCUAUAAGCAUU